GAGACUUUCGCGCUACGGUCACACUUACACGGAAAAAUCGUGAAAAUUCUACGCUACAAAAAAACUGAAAAUCUCUUAAAACUACAAGUUAGCAAAUAAUUUGAAAAGAUGUCACUUUUCGGAGCGUUGAUGGGUGACUUUGACGAUGAUCUUGGCCUGAUGAACAACCACAUGAAUCACACUAUGAACGCCAUGAACAUGCAGAUGCGCUCGAUGAACCGCCUGAUGAGCUCCUUCAUGCCGGACCCCUUCAUGCAGGGUUCGCCCUUUGAUCCGGGCUUCCAGCAGAGCGCCCUAAUGGAGCGUCCACAGAUGCCGGCCAUGCCAGCCAUGGGACUCUUUGGCAUGCCCAUGAUGCCCAACUUUAAUCGCUUGCUGAAUGCCGAUAUUGGUGCCAAUCCAGGAGCCUCAUUUUGCCAGAGCACCGUGAUGACCAUGUCCUCGGGCCCUGAUGGCCGCCCGCAGAUCUACCAGGCCAGCACCAGCACCAAGACAGGACCUGGAGGCGUGCGCGAGACCCGCAAAACAGUUCAGGACUCCCGCACUGGCGUCAAAAAGAUGGCCAUUGGACACCACAUUGGCGAGCGGGCACACAUCAUUGAGAAGGAGCAGGACAUGCGCUCGGGCCAGCUGGAGGAGCGCCAGGAGUUUAUCAAUCUAGAGGAGGAAGAGGCCGAGCAGUUUGAUCGCGAGUUCACCUCGCGUGCCACGCGCGGAGCCGUACAGCCGGGACAUCGUGGUGGCAGUGGAAUGCAGGCCAUUAUGCCCGCUCGUCCGGCGGCCCACUCGUCGUCCACGUUGACCAUUGAACCGGUUGAGGAUGAUGACGAAGAUGAUGAUUGUGUGAUUCAGGAGCAGCAGCAGCCGCUGCCAAUGCGCUCCGUUGCCGGCCGACACUUGCCCUCAGCGCCAGCGGCGGGUCCGCACAGCAGCAGCAGCAGCAGCAUGGCAGCACCAGCAGCAACAGCAACAUCUUCGCCAGCCAUCUAUGAUCUAACCAAUGGCCACAACCACAACAACAACAACAACUAUGUGAGCUCGCGUCGCUCGUAUCUGCGAAAUGGCCAUGGCCAGCAUGGCCUGGCCACACCCCGUCGACCACUGCGCACCCCACCAUCCUCGCCGCUGGCCACGGUGUCCAGCGGUAGUCACAGCUUUGCCGCCUCGCCAAGAGAUUGGCGUCUAUAUAAUUCGCGGCACUAUCGCAAGUAGAGCGAUGAUCAUGAACCAAAAAUAAAAUAAAAGCGAAAAAAGAAAAAAGAAAAGAAUAUGCUUAUCCUGAUAAAAUAUAUAUUAUCAUAUGUAAUCUAAAACAACGAACCAAGAACACCGGCUUACGGCGUAACCACAUGCACCACACACUCUACUAACCGAAAGGCGGCGCCGCUACUCCUUCUCAUCGUUUGCCACAAGAACUGCGUUACAACAACAACAGCAUCUCCGAAAUCUACUACGUGUAAGGCGCCCACACUCCCCACUCACACAUACACACAUCUAUAUCUAUCUGUCUGCAUUGAAACAAAUACCCUGCCGACUGCGACGUUUAAUUGGCCUUCGACGACGCUUGACAAAAUUCUAACCUUGUUGUUGCUGCUGCUGCUGCUGUUGCUGCUGCGCCUAAGCUCCACUACGACUCUAAUCCUACGACCUACGAUCACCAGCAUCUGCUUAAUCAUUUGACCCUCCAUUAUCAUCAUUAAUCCUGCCAUUAAAAUUAACAAUUUGCGUUUGAAUUGGCCUUGUCAUACACCCACAUCCCUAUGCCGCACAUGGCUCGGCACAUUCGCGGCGCCAGCAACGCGGAAUGAAGCAACAUCACCAGUAUGCAGAGGAG